rnacentral:rRNA from 1 species
GUCGAGAAUAAUUCACAAUGGACGAAAGUCUGAUGGUGCAACGCCGCGUGGAGGAUGACGGUCUUCGGAUUGUAAACUCCUGUCAUCCGGGAGUAAGACCUGGCUGUGAAUAGCAGACAGGGUUGAUAGUACCGGAAGAGGAAGGGACGGCUAACUUCGUGCCAGCAGCCGCGGUAAUACGAAGGUCCCGAGCGUUGUUCGGAAUCACUGGGCGUAAAGGGAGCGUAGGCGGCGUGGUAAGUCAGAUGUGAAAUCCCGGGGCUCAACCCCGGAACUGCAUCCGAUACUGCCGUGCUAGAGGAUUGGAGAGGUAGCUGGAAUUCUUGGUGUAGCAGUGAAAUGCGUGGAGAUCAAGAGGAACACUCGUGGCGAAAGCGAGCUACUGGACAGCAUCUGACGCUGAGGCACGAAGGCCAGGGGAGCGAAAGGGAUUAGAUACCCGUGUAGUCC